AAGUCGUAACAAGGUUUCCGUAGGUGAACCUGCGGAAGGAUCAUUAACACGUAUCCACGUAUCAACCCCUAGUGUCACGAGUGCGCGUUCGCGUGCUCAGUUUUCUCUUUUCGUUUUCCACAAUGAAUCUUAACCACUUGAACCAAUCAGACUAAAACUUAUUUCGUGCUUUUUUUUGCGCAAGCGAAAAAGAACCGAAACAAUAAAAUAACAAGAAACAACUCUUAGCGACGGAUUUCUUGGCUCCCGUACCGAUGAAGGACGCAGC
rnacentral:misc_RNA from 1 species